UACGUAGGGUGCAAGCGUUAAUCGGAAUUACUGGGCGUAAAGCGUGCGCAGGCGGUGAUGUAAGACAGGUGUGAAAUCCCGGAGCUUAACUCCGGAACUGCACUUGAUACUGCCUUGCUCGAGUACUGGAGAGGAGACUGGAAUUUACGGUGUAGCAGUGAAAUGCGUAGAUAUCGUAAGGAAGACCAGUGGCGAAGGCGAAUCUCUGGACAGUUACUGACACUGAGGCACGAAGGCCAGGGGAGCAAACAGG
rnacentral:rRNA from 1 species